rnacentral:rRNA from 2 species
AACAAGCUAUAGCGAAGGGGUAACACUUGUUCCCAUCCCAAACAAAAAAGUUAAGCCCUUCAGUGCCGAUGGUACUAUGCUGGCAACGGUGUGAGAGAGUAGGUCACCACCGUUU